UGCUCCUACGGGAGGCAGCAGUGAGGAAUAUUGGUCAAUGGACGGAAGUCUGAACCAGCCAUGCCGCGUGCAGGAAGACGGCUCUAUGAGUUGUAAACUGCUUUUGUACAAAGGUAAACCUGAAUACGUGUAUUCAGCUGAAAGUACUGUACGAAUAAGGACCGGCUAAUUCCGUGCCAGCAGCCGCGGUAAUACGGAAGGUCCGGGCGUUAUCCGGAUUUAUUGGGUUUAAAGGGAGCGUAGGCCGGCUUUUAAGUCAGCUGUGAAAGUCCGCGGCUCAACCGUGGAAUUGCAGUUGAAACUGG
rnacentral:rRNA from 1 species